GCCGAGCCUAGCUAUGGCCAGCGAAGAGCCGGACACCUUCACCGGCCUGGCAGCGGCUUCCGAUUGAAGG
rnacentral:ncRNA from 1 species